ensembl:lncRNA
GGGCUGAGAGGAGCUACCCCAUGUUCAAGGUCAGGAGGGAUGACCUCAUCCAAGGUAAGGAGCAGUGGCUGCACUUUGCUGGAGCAGCUGUGAAGAGAUACCCCACAUCCAAGGUAAGAGAAAUCCAAGUAACACGGUAGGUAUUGCAAGAGGUCAUCAGAGGGCCAACACACUGAAACCAUAAUCACAGAAAACUAGCCAAUCUGAUCACACAGACCACAGCCUUGUCUAACUCUGAAACUAAGCCAUGCUGUGUGGGGCCACCCAAGACGGACAGGUCAUGGUGGAGAGGUCUGAAAGCAUGUGGUCCACUGGAGAAGGGAAUGGUAAACCACCUCAGUAUUCCUGCCUUGAGAACCCCAUGAACAGUAUGAAAAGGCAAAAUGAUAAGAUACUGAAAGAGGAACUCCCCAGGUCGGUAGGUGCCCAAUAUGCUACAGGAGAUCAGUGGAAAAAUAACUCCAGAAAGAAUGAAGGAAUGGAGCCAAAGCAAAAACAAUACUCAGUUGUGGAUGUGACCAGUGAUAGAAGCAAGGCCUGAUGCUGUAAAGAGCAAUAUUGCAUAGGAACCUGGAAUGUUAGGUCCAUGAAUCAAGGCAAAUUGGAAGUGGUCAAACAAGAAAUAAGAGUGAACAUCGACAUUCUAGGAAUCAGCAAACUAAAAUGGACUGGAAUGGGUGAAUUUAACUCAGAUGACCAUUAUAUCUACUACUGUGGGCAGGAAUCCCUUAGAAGAAAUGGAGUAGCCAUCAUGGUCAACAAAAGAGUCUGAAAUGCAGUACUUGGAUGCAAUCUCAAAAAUGACAGAAUGAUCUCUGUUUGUUUCCAAGGUAAACCAUUCAAUGUCACGGUGAUCCAAGCCUAUGCCCAAACCAGUAACGCUGAAGAAAGCUCAAGUUGAAUGGUUCUAUGAAGACCUACAAGACCUUUUAGAACUAACACCCAAAAAAGAUGUCCUUUUCAUUAUAGGGGACUGGAAUGCAAAAGUAGGAAGUCAAGAAACACAUGGAGUAACAGGCAAAUUUGGCCUUGGAAUAUGGAAUGAAGCAGGGCAAGGCUAAUAGAGUUUUGCCAAGAGAACACACGUAAACACCCUCUUCCAACAACACAGGAGAAGACUGCACAUGGACAUCACCAGAUGGUCAACACCAAAAUCAGACUGAUUAUAUUCUUUGCAGCCA